rnacentral:rRNA from 1 species
AGAGCGAACGCUGGCGGCAGGCUUAACACAUGCAAGUCGAACGGAUCCUUCGGGGUUAGUGGCGGACGGGUGAGUAACACGUGGGAACGUGCCUUUUGGUUCGGAACAACUCAGGGAAACUUGAGCUAAUACCGGAUGUGCCCUUCGGGGGAAAGAUUUAUCGCCAUUAGAGCGGCCCGCGUCUGAUUAGCUAGUUGGUGAGGUAAAGGCCCACCAAGGCUACGAUCAGUAGCUGGUCUGAGAGGAUGACCAGCCACAUUGGGACUGAGACACGGCCCAAACUCCUACGGGAGGCAGCAGUGGGGAAUCUUGCGCAAUGGGCGAAAGCCUGACGCAGCCAUGCCGCGUGAAUGAUGAAGGUCUUAGGAUUGUAAAAUUCUUUCACCGGGGACGAUAAUGACGGUACCGGAGAAGAAGCCCGGCUAACUUCGCGCCAGCAGCCGC